rnacentral:rRNA from 1 species
UACGUAGGGCGCGAGCGUUGUCCGGAAUUAUUGGGCGUAAAGAGCUCGUAGGCGGCUUGUCACGUCGGGUGUGAAAUCCCUCGGCUUAACCGGGGAACUGCGUCUGAUACUGGAUGGCUUGAGUUUGGGAGAGGGACGCGGAAUUCCAGGUGUAGCGGUGAAAUGCGUAGAUAUCUGGAGGAACACCGGUGGCGAAGGCGGCGUCCUGGACCAACACUGACACUGAGGAGCGAAAGCCAGGGGAGCAAACGGG